rnacentral:rRNA from 1 species
UACGGAGGAUCCGAGCGUUAUCCGGAUUUAUUGGGUUUAAAGGGUGCGUAGGCGGCCUGUUAAGUCAGGGGUGAAAGACGGUAGCUCAACUAUCGCAGUGCCCUUGAUACUGAAGAGCUUGAAUGUACUUGAGGUAGGCGGAAUGUGACAAGUAGCGGUGAAAUGCAUAGAUAUGUCACAGAACACCAAUUGCGAAGGCAGCUUACUAAAGUAUGAUUGACGCUGAGGCACGAAAGCGUGGGGAUCAAACAGG